UACAGAGGUGGCAAGCGUUGUUCGGAAUUACUGGGCGUAAAGGGCGCGUAGGCGGUCUUGCAAGUCCCGUGUGAAAUCCCUCGGCUCAACUGAGGAACUGCACGGGAAACUGCUUUGGCUUGAGUUCGGGAGAGGGAAGCGGAAUUCCGGGUGUAGCGGUGAAAUGCGUAGAUAUCCGGAGGAACACCGGUGGCGAAGGCGGCUCUCUGGGCCUUACCUGACGCUGAGGAGCGAAAGCGUGGGUAGCGAACAGG
rnacentral:rRNA from 1 species